UACAGGGGGGGCAAGCGUUGUUCGGAAUUACUGGGCGUAAAGGGCUCGUAGGCGGCCAUCUAAGUCAGACGUGAAAUCCCCCGGCUUAACCUGGGAACUGCGUCUGAUACUGGACGGCUCGAGUAUGGGAGAGGGAUGUAGAAUUCCAGGUGUAGCGGUGAAAUGCGUAGAUAUCUGGAGGAAUACCGGUGGCGAAGGCGGCAUCCUGGACCAUUUACUGACGCUGAGGCGCGAAAGCUAGGGGAGCAAACGGG
rnacentral:rRNA from 1 species